rnacentral:misc_RNA from 1 species
GAUGAAGAAGUAGCGAAAUGCGAUACUUGGUGUGAAUUGCAGAAUCCCGUGAACCAUCGAGUCUUUGAACGCAAGUUGCGCCCGAAGCCUCGGCUAAGGGCACGUCUGCCUGGGCGUCACGCAUCGCGUCUCCCCCAAACCGCCAAGGCGGAGGGGAAGGAAGAUGGCUUCCCGUGCCUCACCCGGCGCGGUUGGCCUAAAUUUGGAGCCCGCGGCACUUAGCUCUCGCGGCGAUAGGUGGUGAACAAGGCCUUGGCCGUGCAAACAACCCGCUGCGAAGCUCUAUGUCACGUGCGCUCGUCGGACCCUUUGAAGUUGCCUUCGGUGACUUAAAACCUUUGCGACCCCAGGUCAGGCGGGGCUACCCGCUGAAUUUAAGCAUAUCAAUAAGCGGAGGA